UCUCCUCAAAGGCAUAGAACUGUUUCUGUU
rnacentral:piRNA from 1 species